GAUGAACGCUAGCGGCAGGCCUAACACAUGCAAGUCGAGGGGCAUCGGGAUUGAAGCUUGCUUCAAUUGCCGGCGACCGGCGCACGGGUGCGUAACGCGUAUGUAACCUACCUAUAACAGGGGCAUAACACUGAGAAAUUGGUACUAAUUCCCCAUAAUAUUCGGAGAGGCAUCUCUCCGGGUUGAAAACUCCGGUGGUUAUAGAUGGGCUUGCGUCUGAUUAGCUAGUUGGUGGGGUAACGGCCUACCAAGGCGACGAUCAGUAGCCGGACUGAGAGGUUGAACGGCCACAUUGGGACUGAGAUACGGCCCAG
rnacentral:rRNA from 1 species